rnacentral:rRNA from 1 species
CUAGGCCGAGGGCACGCCUGCCUGGGCGUC